UAUUUUACAAGUCAAUCUUAGGUCUGUGUCUCCUAACUGGUAUCAGACAAGAGUACAAACUUACUAUCUUUGAUUUCAGGACCUUUCUGAAAGUGAGGAUUUUAUGAAAUGUGUGAAAUCAACUGAAACUCAUAUUGGUGCAUUUUUAUGAUGUAAAAAAGCAGGAAAGACCACUAGCAACAAGAUUGGCAAUUUUUAAAUUAUAUUUUUUGAUAUCUGAAUUUACUGCAAGGGGACAGGUGUCAGCCAAAUCGCUGAAGGAGAAUCCCAUUUUUUCAUCAGUUGACAUGUAAAAUACCCACAAUGAAUGUCAAAAGUCAGCAGAAUUAGAUUUUUUUUGUCAGAAAGUGCUGCUUCACUGUAUGGAGUGCAGAAUAAGUACAGUCUUUGUCCACAGGGGGCGCCAAAGUCGACACAAACUGAAAGUUUCUAACAGGAGCUUUAAGUCCUAUCCUAUUUUUUUUCCUCCCAAAUCCAAUCCUUUAACACCCUAAAGCUCAUUCCCUGCUGCAGUUGAUGGUUUUCUUCAAUUUGUUUGAUGUCUUUUUCACCUAUCUCCUUUUAUGCUACUCAAAUAAAUUGAGAGUAGUUUCAGAAAUAUCUUUCAUAUUUCCUUCUGAUGUUAUUUGAAAGUAGUAUUAUCAUCAGCCCGUCAAAAGGAAUCUGUUAAAUUAUAAACAGUAUACUAAAAGUGCAGUAACUCCUCUGAUUUGAUGUGUCGUGUGAUCAGGUGGUCUCUUGUGUCACUGUUGAUAUUCAGACAUAAUUAGCAUUGCCAGGAAUUUUUCAGCUAUCAGAAUCAAAUAUUUAGAGGGGUGAUGAGUAAGAAAGCUGGGUAAUUUUGGUUUAAUGUACAGAAGGCUUUUGUGAAGUGAUUAAUCGGACUGAAAUGAUCACUGCUACCUCUCUGAAGCCAAUGAACUAUAGGGAAUAAAAGAAGCUCCUUCAGUGGUUUAAUGAGGGUUGGUUUCGGAUGAGAUAAUUAACAGCACAGAACAAAAGAGCCUUUGUUGACAGACUCACAGUGAGCAAUAUAUUAGCCAGUUAAAGACAGGAAAAAAUUGUACAUGAAGCAACAAAUAUACAUACAGGAUUAGCGUAGACAUAUUGUGUUUUUUUUUCCAUGGAGGUCUCCAGAACAACAAAAAUAAAAGGCUUUCUCAGCAGCUGUGAGUAAAUGAUCUGAAAAUUUCCCUGCCAUCCCCGGGGCUCAAGUAUGAUGUGUUUAUAUACGAGAGGCUGACAUCCUGAUGAAUACCACCAGCACAAAAACUGUGUUUCUUGUACCUUAAUAUUUCAAAAACACGUUUUGAAAGGAUGGAAACAUCAUGAAAAUAGCUUCCGAGGUGUAUAACAUAACCUCUCUGGACACCUCUCUCCUUCACUUAGGUGAGAAACUUUAACCCCUUGUCACUUCUCUACAGGACACACAAAAAAAACAGAGUACACAAGGUCGUGAUCUCCUGUUUGACUGACAGCAGGUGAAACACGACACUGCAUGUGGAUGAGGAAGUGCAGCUCGACAGCUCUUUCCCCUGUGACGCUGCUGCCUCCACAGAAAACAGACAGCUUCUACCUGAGCAACGGACUCACCUGAGAGGAGACAGGAGACACACAUCUGUUGGUAAGAAGAUAGACUCACUAGUAAUUCUUUGGUUUGAUGCUAACACAACUUCUGAGCAAUUCAAUCCAACUUUUUAGACAGUUACAUCCUCACACUGUCAAUUAAAAUCAGAAUUUUGUGGUGUGUUGCGGUUUCUUUCAGGUUGUAGCGGUUGUUUCCAUCAGGAUAAAGUAUGGUAAGUGUUUCCUUCCUUUGUCUCACAUUCUGUUCGAUGACAAACUGAAGUGUGUGAGACUAGAAAACAACUUUAGGAUGAAUGUGCUGCAGCCACAGCACCAGAAAUAACCGAAAUGUUUGUUCAAUGAAGUGAGUCUUGACUCCUCAAAGGUCAGUGCCUCUUUGAACCACACUGAGACCUGCGCUGCAUGAUCAGUUUUAAACAAUAAACAUCACAAAGAAGUGUCAGCACAGCUCCCGAAUUUGCAUGACAUCCAAUGUAUCCUGAUUUUCAAUAAUUUGAUUGCUUUUUCAUCCCACUGAAUCCUCACCCUUUUUUCAAUUUGGUAUAUAUUGUGAAGACUUGAUGCGUGCAGAUAUCCUGACUUUUAGAUGAGCCUUUAUUUCCUGAGAGGGUUUUCUGCAGAGAUGCACUCAUUAGGAAAACAUUAGUGAGACUCACUUGCACCUUAUUCUCACUUUGGCACUAAAAGAGAAGGAGCAGCUUCAUUUGAUACCCUUGAUUUGAUUUUAUCCUCUCCAGCUCAGAGAGGGACUUCAGACUGUCUGAUGAGGGCGAGCUGAUUUAAGAAGUAAAGUGAUGGCAAGAACUCAGUUUCAGCUGACGACGCUGGUCUAAUUUGCACCAUAUUGUAUUACCACGUUCAUGAAAGCUGUAGGUGUCAUUUGUAUCCCUGCUGGGUUACAAUUUCAUCAACACAGCGGGGAGACAAUGACAUCCUGAUAGUGCUCUGACUAAAAACGGAAACUCUCUGUUCUUAAGAAGUUAAUAAAACUGCCUUUCCUUUGAGAUAAGCCUGAACAGCAUCUAAGAUCCUGUUCAAGAGAAGUACUGAGAGCCUCCGGUACCAUAAACCACAAAAACCUCAACUGAAAUCAAGUCGACUGACAUUUGUUUUUCAGGGCCGAUGUUGAUUAUCGCUAGUUGAUUGGACUGAUAUCUAUUGACGAUAAAAAUAAAAAAAUCUUUGGGUCAAAAUUGAGAUUAUUUUGAAUUCCUCCACACAAUUUUGCUGAAAUGAUUUUAGCUAAUGUUUAAUCUAAGCUGAGAUGUUCAACAUCAUAAUCAUAAUUUAACAGAAAACCAUCUGCACCUUUAGUAACGUUUCGUCCACUCGGUACGUUUACAUUAAGUUUAAAAAAUUGGAUUUAUUGCCUUAGUUCGACUUACACUGGACUUUACCCUAAAAUGAACUUCCCAUAAUCAGCUAACAUAGGUAAUAAUGCAGUUGGACUGACUGAAAGUGGCCUUAGCACUCUGCUCACGCUCCAGUGUUUGCACAUCAGAAGUUAAAUCGCACAGAUGUGUUGCUAGAAAUAAACAAAACCUCAAAAGGCGAAGUGCAGAUGACAGCUUUAUCGAUGGAUUCAAUGGUCGGGGUGAGCAGGGGAGAAUUUUAAUCUCUGGAGUAUGAAAGCUACAUAUCACUUAAUAUUUCUAUUUAGAACAGUAACUUGAAUUCCUGCACUAAUCAGCUGUUAACACAAUAAACUGUCCUUUAAGCUCAGUUUCUUUAUUUUGGCAUUAAACUUCAGUUUGGAUGGUUUUCCCUGAUACUCGUGUUUUUCUGAAUUUCAUGCAAAAACAUAAAAAAUUUCAACAAAAAUUUUUAAUUUUGCUGCAAAGGUAAAUGCAUCAUAAAAAUAUCACUAUCAUUUCCAAUCACUUUCAAGAAAGCAGCACAAUAAAAGUUCAGGGAUUGACCAAGUCAUAGGGGUUUAUCUUAAGGGGAUUUUCUAACAAUUUAUGAAACCUCACUGAUAUUUGUGUGGAUAUUUGCUCCUUCUCUGGACCACAAUGUGCCUAAAACUCUUUUAGUUUUGGGCUUCUGAGGGUUUAUUUUAAUUUUCAUUCUGGUCUUUGUAGAAAACAGAUACUGAGUUUUGUAAUAGAGGACACAACACUAGAUAAUAAAAUGAAAAUAAUUCAUAUUCCAGUAAUGAAAAAUUAAUUAGAAACAAAGAGGAAACAUUUAUCAGUCUAAAACAGGUUUAUAAUUUCUGCAGAAAGAAAUGUAACCUCACUUUUACGAGGCAGGCAGGAUCAUUGCCGUGAAACCAAAGCAACAGCCCUUCAAGGUAAAACCUCCAGAUCUCUUAAGAGAAGAAAAAGAUCGUUCCCUUGGGUAGCUUCUACUAUGUGUGAAAACAACAAAAGAGAUCAUAAACAGCAUCAGCUAUAACUGAGAGCAGGAUGAGGACAUGAUUAUUUUACAACUCCCACCUUCGCAUGAGUUUGAGACAAGGCUGCAGCUGAGGCAGAUGUUUUAUUGCUUUUUCUUCAAAUGACAUUUUCUCUGCAGAACAAUCUCCCACGUGACGCGCAACAUGUUUUUGUAAAUUACCACAAAGCAGCAGCCAGACUUGAUUGAAAUGACAUGUUCAGUACUUGCCCCAGAGUUUGGUAGGCAGCAAUUAAUCCGAAGUGUGUUUGAUUGCCAGCUGCUACAUUUUUGGUGCGGUUACAGCAAACAUUAACAGAAACAUCAUUACAUACCCAAAAUGAGAAACUGCAAGAGUUUCUACUGACGUUUCUUAUUUUGAUUAGACUGGGGGAGUUUUGAGAAAAUCAAUUUGAUCUGCAAAAAAGACCAAAACAUGACAAGGAAAGCCUUUAAUUGAAGUAGGUCCAACAUCUCUCUAUCAUUCCCUGUGUUAAGUCGAGACUUCAUUUUCUGAUAAGAUGAAAUAUUAGAUGUUCAAUCUUCAUUUAAAGCUCCUAUAGGUGGUUUUUGGCUGGUCAUUAAACAGUAUUGAUGUGUCUUUCAAUAAUCUAAAAAUGCAAAAAGACCAUUAGCAAAAACAAUGACUAUUGUUUUUCAAUGUCUGAAGCAUUUGUGUUGGGUAGGAGGCCAGGAAGCUUUCCAGUCAUCUAUAAUUAUCCUAUCAGGCUGUCCAAAAUACUUGAUUCUGAUUGUUCAAUACCCCGAAGCA